CAAGUCGAACGGAAAGGCCCUUCGGGGUACUCGAGUGGCGAACGGGUGAGUAAACGUGGGUGAUCUGCCCUGCACUUUGGGAUAAGCCUGGGAAACUGGGUCUAAUACCGAAUAUGAUCAUCAGCUUCAUGGUUGGUGGUGGAAAGCUUUUGCGGUGUGGGAUGGGCCCGCGGCCUAUCAGCUUGUUGGUGGGGUAAUGGCCUACCAAGGCGACGACGGGUAGCCGGCCUGAGAGGGUGACCGGCCACACUGGGACUGAGAUACGGCCCAGACUCCUACGGGAGGCAGCAGUGGGGAAUAUUGCACAAUGGGCGCAAGCCUGAUGCAGCGACGCCGCGUGAGGGAUGACGGCCUUCGGGUUGUAAACCUCUUUCAGCACAGACGAAGCGCAAGUGACGGUAUGUGCAGAAGAAGGACCGGCCAACUACGUGCCAGCAGCCGCGGUAAUACGUAGGGUCCGAGCGUUGUCCGGAAUUACUGGGCGUAAAGAGCUCGUAGGUGGUUUGUCGCGUUGUUCGUGAAAACUCACAGCUUAACUGUGGGCGUGCGGGCGAUACGGGCAGACUGGAGUACUGCAGGGGAGACUGGAAUUCCUGGUGUAGCGGUGGAAUGCGCAGAUAUCAGGAGGAACACCGGUGGCGAAGGCGGGUCUCUGGGCAGUAACUGACGCUGAGGAGCGAAAGCGUGGGGAGC
rnacentral:rRNA from 2 species